AGUGAACGCUGGCGGUAGGCCUAACACAUGCAAGUCGAACGGCAGCACAGUAAGAGCUUGCUCUUACGGGUGGCGAGUGGCGGACGGGUGAGGAAUACAUCGGAAUCUACUUUUUCGUGGGGGAUAGCGUAGGGAAACUUACGCUAAUACCGCAUACGACCUACGGGUGAAAGCAGGGGAUCUUCGGACCUUGCGCGAUUGAAUGAGCCGAGGUCGGAUUAGCUAGUUGGCGGGGUAAAGGCCCACCAAGGCGACGAUCCGUAGCUGGUCUGAGAGGAUGAUCAGCCACACUGGAACUGAGACACGGUCCAGACUCCUACGGGAGGCAGCAGUGGGGAAUAUUGGACAAUGGGCGCAAGCCUGAUCCAGCCAUACCGCGUGGGUGAAGAAGGCCUUCGGGUUGUAAAGCCCUUUUGUUGGGAAAGAAAAGCAGUAGGUUAAUACCUCGCUGUUCUGACGGUACCCACAGAAUAAGCACCGGCUAACUUCGUG
rnacentral:rRNA from 1 species